UGCAUGUGAAUGCUUUGUAAAAGCAGCAGACGAGGAUCAGCUGAUCUUAAAACGUUGUGUUUUGUGUCAGGGAUUGGCCAGUCCCAGUUUGUCAGAGGAUCAUGGAGGACUGCCAGCUCGACUUUCACUGUCAGCUUUUGCUCAGCCCAGCAUACCUGCUGCAGAACACCAGCAGCCAUGUGUCUUCUCCACCUUAGUCAUCAUGGCGGAGGAUAUCCAACGGGGCUGUGCCAUCGCUGAGGAGGUCCAGCAGGAAAGAGCAGACUGGCCCAAGCUGCUCGAAAAACCAGACUUCUUCAGGAAACUACACUCACAUGCACACCGCUUUGUAAAAUACGGACAUUUCCUCUGUUUGGAAAUGUCAUUUGGAUAUUUGAAACAUUUUCCUGAUAGGACUGUCACACUUUCUCCUUCUGUCUUAAAGCUUUCAGUCUUUUCCGAUGAUUUCGUCGUUCCUCCAACGAAGGCAAAGCUUAAUGUUUCAUAGUUGUUUGAUUUUCUCAAUGAGGAUAUGUAGAUGGUUGUAAGAAGUAAAGCCUGUGACAGUGCUGAUUCCUGUACUCCUGUGCUCUGUUUGAUCAAAAACAAAUUACUGACUUCACUAGUUGUGACCUCGUUCUGUCUCUUCUGUGUUGAGGCAUUACAUUCUGCACAUAGCAAAGAAAACUGGAAUAGAUGGAGACAUUUUUGUGGACAGUCUCAUGUCAUUGGCUGAGGAUGCUUCUUAUUACAGUCCUUGGUUCUGUAUGAUGGAGAAAACUGUCUUAAUAUUUAAUUUCCUCUCCCUGAAAAUUGUGUUUUGUUCUGGUCGUCAGGGUUGAUCUGGUGGAAUCCAAAAUCAGACUCCUGGUGGAACGUGUGGAAAACAACAGGCACAUUUCCCUGGUCCACGUCGACCAGCAGUCCUUCCCUGGACACCUGCAGAGCGGUGACAAGGAAUGAGCACAGUAUGGAUCAUCGGACUGGUCCCUCAUAUGCAGGAGUCUCAAAACUUUGAGAAUUAACUGGCCUUCGAGCUUGUGUCCUUCACUGACACCAUCUACGGCCUGGCAAAGCUCUCCAAGGUCUAUCAGGAGGGGGUGAUCGUAUCAGCAGGAUACGUCAGGAGGGAAACUCACAGCUGGCAGAUUCCCAACAGAGAGCAGAGAAGAGUUUUCAGGCCAACACUGAAGCCCACAGCGAGGCACCAACGCUCUGCGGCUGCAGGAGCUUCUGAUGCAGCAGCUGUCAGCACAGGCCGACCAACCAUUCCGCGCUCUGUGAUGAGAAAAUAGAUUAGUUUAAAUGUUUCUGAUGUUAUUCUAAUGUGUUAAAUAUCCAGUGUGUGUGAUUUAGGGGGAUCUAUUGGCAGAAAUAUUGUCAGUAAAAUGACAUCGUUACACUUCUGUGUCUCUACGGAUUAAACAUUUUUGUCCUGAUUACCUUCAGACAGAGCCUGGCUGGCUGGCUUUCUCUAGUUUCAAGUCUUUAUGCUAAGCUGAGCUAACCGACUGCUGGUUGUAGCUGAAUAUUUAUCACAUAUCAGUCAUCUCAUGCAACUCUUUGCAAAAAUAAGCAUAUCUAUUAUUCCUAUUUCUGUAACUUGCCAAGUGCUGCUGGUCAGAUGGAAAUCAAAAUGUUUUGCAAUAAUCAAACUCCUGCUGAAAUUGAUCCAGUAAAGUAACGUUUUCCUUGUUCUGGACAGGAAUCAGUAUCUGUGACAACGGCCUCAUCUGCUCCAGCUCACCCUCCACAUUUUCAACAGCCACAACAACUGCAGCCUUUUCACCAAAGAAGUUUAACAUCACUCAGGACACAGCUCCAGGGACAAGAGGCACCACUUGUGAAGAGUCCUCUACAGAUCCCCUACGCAGUGAGAGUCCGCCUCCCAGUGCCGACUCACACAGCAGGAAGAGACCGGCUGCUCCUGAGUCUGAGCCUGCCAAGAGAUUCAAAAUUGAACUGACUCUGCCCACUAUCCAGCUCUUGGACGCGUCCGUCCCCACCAGGCUCGAUGUUGUUCUGAAAUCAAACAAUCAACGUCCAGCUGCUCAGAAGGCGUAACUGAUGGCACGCCGCUGACCAGCUGACAAGCCUGAAGCCCUUUGUAUUCUUUUUUUUCUUCUUUAUUUGUGAUUGUAGUUUACAAGUUUAAUACAUUUUGCCAUUGUGAUUUUUCUUCUUUACAUUUUUAAUUUUGGUCAUUUUUUGUGCAUUAUAUUAAAUAAAA